GGGAAGGGGCUGGCAGGCUACACAUGCAAGUCGAGCGGAUGAGAAGAGCUUGCUCUUCGAUUCAGCGGCGGACGGGUGAGUAAUGCCUAGGAAUCUGCCUGGUAGUGGGGGACAACGUUUCGAAAGGAACGCUAAUACCGCAUACGUCCUACGGGAGAAAGCAGGGGACCUUCGGGCCUUGCGCUAUCAGAUGAGCCUAGGUCGGAUUAGCUAGUUGGUGGGGUAAUGGCUCACCAAGGCGACGAUCCGUAACUGGUCUGAGAGGAUGAUCAGUCACACUGGAACUGAGACACGGUCCAGACUCCUACGGGAGGCAGCAGUGGGGAAUAUUGGACAAUGGGCGAAAGCCUGAUCCAGCCAUGCCGCGUGUGUGAAGAAGGUCUUCGGAUUGUAAAGCACUUUAAGUUGGGAGGAAGGGCAGUAAGCGAAUACCUUGCUGUUUUGACGUUACCGACAGAAUAAGCACCGGCUAACUCUGUGCCAGCAGCCGCGGUAAUACAGAGGGUGCAAGCGUUAAUCGGAAUUACUGGGCGUAAAGCGCGCGUAGGUGGUUUGUUAAGUUGAAUGUGAAAGCCCCGGGCUCAACCUGGGAACUGCAUC
rnacentral:rRNA from 1 species